UUCUACGGCCACACCUCCCUGAACAUGCUCGAUCUCCUCUGAUCUCAGAAGCUAAGCAGGGUGGGGCCUGGUUAGUACUUGGAUGGUAGAAGGAAGAAGUGGGGGGAGGGCAAUAGUGCACUAGGUU
ensembl:rRNA 5S_rRNA 5S ribosomal RNA